GUUAUUUUGGCAGAUUAGUGCAAUUGAUUUAGAAUCAUUAAAUGUAGUUUAGGCUAUAAAUAAUA
rnacentral:tRNA from 1 species